rnacentral:misc_RNA from 1 species
GAACUGCGAUAAGUAAUGUGAAUUGCAGAAUUCAGUGAAUCAUCGAGUCUUUGAACGCACAUUGCGCCCCCUGGCAUUCCGGGGGGCAUGCCUGUCCGAGCGUCAUUGCUGCCCAUCAAGCCCGGCUUGUGUGUUGGGUUGUCGUCCCCCCCGGGGGACGGGCCCGAAAGGCAGCGGCGGCACCGUGUCCGGUCCUCGAGCGUAUGGGGCUUUGUCACCCGCUCGACUAGGGCCGGCCGGGCGCCAGCCGACGUCUCCAACCAUUUUUCUUCAGGUUGACCUCGGAUCAGGUAGGGAUACCCGCUGAACUUAAGC